GGAAGGCUGGCGGAAGCUGUGUCACAGCGCGCCCCUGCGCCCACCACCCAGACAAGAGAGAUCUAAGUCAGAAAGGGGAGACGGAGACACGGACACACCCAGAGGGAGAGCGCCGUGUGGAGACAGAGGCUGAGGCCGACCUGCCGUGGCAGAAGCCAGGGAAGCCCGCAGAUGGGCAGCAGAGCAGAAGCUGGGACAGAGGCCCCGAGCGGAGGCACCUUCUCGGUCCUUGGCAGAAGCCCGCCCUGCCUGCGCCUUCCUCUCGGACUGCUAUUCCCCGAGCCGGGAGAGAGGCCAUCUCUGCUGGGAAAGCCACUCAAAGUUUGUAACGCUUUGUGACCGCAGCCACAGGAUGCUAAUGAAGCCACCUGACUGUCCCCUCCUGAAGGGUGGGGCCUGGGCCUUGCCCCAUCUCGCAUACCCGGCUCCCUGAGCAUAUGUGGCCCUGCGCGCAGGGGCCCCAUGAGCUUGCCCGCUGCCCCUGCCUGCUUGUGCUGCCCGGGGCCAGCCUGGAAACCACCUUCCUUGGACUCACUGGUGAUCAGCUCCCCCGACAUCCUAGGAGGGGCCGCUGCGAGCGGAGAGGGACCCCUCACACCAUACAGACAAACCAACCCAGAGCACAUCACAGGCUGAUGUGUAGUGUGGCCCAAAGUAUGAAACUCUCAGAAGAAAAUGGGAUAAAACUUCACGACCUUGGAUAUGGCAAUAGUUCCUUCACUAGGACACCAAAAGCAUGAGCAACAAGAGAAAAACAGAUCAACUGAACCUCAUUCAACUCAACACUUUUGUGCACCAAAGGACAAUAUCGAGACAGUGAAAAAGACAACCUACAGACUGGGAGAAAACUCUGGACUGGUGAACCACACAUCUGAUGAGGGUGCAGUAUCCAGAAUAUACAAAGAGCUUUUACA
rnacentral:lncRNA from 1 species